AGAGAUGGAUUGGUGCCUUCGGGAACUCUGACACAGGUGCUGCAUGGCUGUCGUCAGCUCGUGCGUGAGAUGUUGGUUAAGUCCCGUAACGAGCGCAACCCUUGUCCUUAGUUACCAGCACGUUAUGGUGGGCACUCUAAGGAGACUGCCGGUGACAACCGGAGGAAGGUGGGGAUGACGUCAAGUCAUCAUGGCCCUUACGGCCUGGGCUACACACGUGCUACAAUGGUCGGUACAAAGGGUUGCCAAGCCGCGAGGUGGAGCUAAUCCCAUAAAACCGAUCGUAGUCCGGAUCGCAGUCUGCAACUCGACUGCGUGAAGUCGGAAUCGCUAGUAAUCGUGAAUCAGAAUGUCACGGUGAAUACGUUCCCGGGCCUU
rnacentral:rRNA from 1 species